GGGUGCGAUCAUACCAGCACUAAUGCACCGGAUCCCAUCAGAACUCCGAAGUGAAGCGUGCUUGGGCGAGAGUAGUACUAGGAUGGGUGACCCCCUAGGAAGUCCUCGUGUUGCACCC
rnacentral:rRNA from 1 species